rnacentral:rRNA from 1 species
ACUCCUUCCCAUCCCGAACAGGACAGUGAAACGACUUUGCGCCGAUGAUAGUGCGGAUUCCCGUGUGAAAGUAGGUCAUCGUCAGGC